CGGGACACGUGGUAUCCUGUCUGAAUAUGGGGGGACCAUCCUCCAAGGCUAAAUACUCCUGACUGACCGAUAGUGAACCAGUACCGUGAGGGAAAGGCGAAAAGAACCCCGGCGAGGGGAGUGAAAAAGAACCUGAAACCGUGUACGUACAAGCAGUGGGAGCCUCUUUAUGGGGUGACUGCGUACCUUUUGUAUAAUGGGUCAGCGACUUAUAUUCUGUAGCAAGGUUAACCGAAUAGGGGAGCCGAAGGGAAACCGAGUCUUAACUGGGCGUUAAGUUGCAGGGUAUAGACCCGAAACCCGGUGAUCUAGCCAUGGGCAGGUUGAAGGUUGGGUAACACUAACUGGAGGACCGAACCGACUAAUGUUGAAAAAUUAGCGGAUGACUUGUGGCUGGGGGUGAAAGGCCAAUCAAACCGGGAGAUAGCUGGUUCUCCCCGAAAGCUAUUUAGGUAGCGCCUCGUGAAUUCAUCUCCGGGGGUAGAGCACUGUUUCGGCAAGGGGGUCAUCCCGACUUACCAACCCGAUGCAAACUGCGAAUACCGGAGAAUGUUAUCACGGGAGACACACGGCGGGUGCUAACGUCCGUCGUGAAGAGGGAAACAACCCAGACCGCCAGCUAAGGUCCCAAAGUCAUGGUUAAGUGGGAAACGAUGUGGGAAGGCCCAGACAGCCAGGAUGUUGGCUUAGAAGCAGCCAUCAUUUAAAGAAAGCGUAAUAGCUCACUGGUCGAGUCGGCCUGCGCGGAAGAUGUAACGGGGCUAAACCAUGCACCGAAGCUGCGGCAGCGACACUAUGUGUUGUUGGGUAGGGGAGCGUUCUGUAAGCCUGUGAAGGUGGCCUGUGAGGGUUGCUGGAGGUAUCAGAAGUGCGAAUGCUGACAUAAGUAACGAUAAAGCGGGUGAAAAGCCCGCUCGCCGGAAGACCAAGGGUUCCUGUCCAACGUUAAUCGGGGCAGGGUGAGUCGACCCCUAAGGCGAGGCCGAAAGGCGUAGUCGAUGGGAAACAGGUUAAUAUUCCUGUACUUGGUGUUACUGCGAAGGGGGGACGGAGAAGGCUAUGUUGGCCGGGCGACGGUUGUCCCGGUUUAAGCGUGUAGGCUGGUUUUCCAGGCAAAUCCGGAAAACCAAGGCUGAGGCGUGAUGACGAGGCACUACGGUGCUGAAGCGACAAAUGCCCUGCUUCCAGGAAAAGCCUCUAAGCAUCAGGUAACAUCAAAUCGUACCCCAAACCGACACAGGUGGUCAGGUAGAGAAUACCAAGGCGCUUGAGAGAACUCGGGUGAAGGAACUAGGCAAAAUGGUGCCGUAACUUCGGGAGAAGGCACGCUGAUAUGUAGGUGAAGCGACUUGCUCGUGGAGCUGAAAUCAGUCGAAGAUACCAGCUGGCUGCAACUGUUUAUUAAAAACACAGCACUGUGCAAACACGAAAGUGGACGUAUACGGUGUGACGCCUGCCCGGUGCCGGAAGGUUAAUUGAUGGGGUUAGCGGUAACGCGAAGCUCUUGAUCGAAGCCCCGGUAAACGGCGGCCGUAACUAUAACGGUCCUAAGGUAGCGAAAUUCCUUGUCGGGUAAGUUCCGACCUGCACGAAUGGCGUAAUGAUGGCCAGGCUGUCUCCACCCGAGACUCAGUGAAAUUGAACUCGCUGUGAAGAUGCAGUGUACCCGCGGCAAGACGGAAAGACCCCGUGAACCUUUACUAUAGCUUGACACUGAACAUUGAGCCUUGAUGUGUAGGAUAGGUGGGAGGCUUUGAAGUGUGGACGCCAGUCUGCAUGGAGCCGACCUUGAAAUACCACCCUUUAAUGUUUGAUGUUCUAACGUUGGCCCGUAAUCCGGGUUGCGGACAGUGUCUGGUGGGUAGUUUGACUGGGGCGGUCUCCUCCUAAAGAGUAACGGAGGAGCACGAAGGUUGGCUAAUCCUGGUCGGACAUCAGGAGGUUAGUGCAAUGGCAUAAGCCAGCUUGACUGCGAGCGUGACGGCGCGAGCAGGUGCGAAAGCAGGUCAUAGUGAUCCGGUGGUUCUGAAUGGAAGGGCCAUCGCUCAACGGAUAAAAGGUACUCCGGGGAUAACAGGCUGAUACCGCCCAAGAGUUCAUAUCGACGGCGGUGUUUGGCACCUCGAUGUCGGCUCAUCACAUCCUGGGGCUGAAGUAGGUCCCAAGGGUAUGGCUGUUCGCCAUUUAAAGUGGUACGCGAGCUGGGUUUAGAACGUCGUGAGACAGUUCGGUCCCUAUCUGCCGUGGGCGCUGGAGAACUGAGGGGGGCUGCUCCUAGUACGAGAGGACCGGAGUGGACGCAUCACUGGUGUUCGGGUUGUCAUGCCAAUGGCACUGCCCGGUAGCUAAAUGCGGAAGAGAUAAGUGCUGAAAGCAUCUAAGCACGAAACUUGCCCCGAGAUGAGUUCUCCCUGACUCCUUGAGAGUCCUGAAGGAACGUUGAAGACGACGACGUUGAUAGGCCGGGUGUGUAAGCGCAGCGAUGCGUUGAGCUAACCGGUACUAAUGAACCGUGAG
rnacentral:rRNA from 1 species